ACGGGUGAGUAACAUAUCGGAACGUACCGAGUAAUGGGGGAUAACUAAUCGAAAGAUUAGCUAAUACCGCAUAUUCUCUGAGGAGGAAAGCAGGGGACCUUCGGGCCUUGCGUUAUUCGAGCGGCCGAUAUCUGAUUAGCUAGUUGGUGGGGUAAAGGCCUACCAAGGCGACGAUCAGUAGCGGGUCUGAGAGGAUGAUCCGCCACACUGGGACUGAGACACGGCCCAGACUCCUACGGGAGGCAGCAGUGGGGAAUUUUGGACAAUGGGCGCAAGCCUGAUCCAGCCAUGCCGCGUGUCUGAAGAAGGCCUUCGGGUUGUAAAGGACUUUUGUCAGGGAAGAAAAGGACAGGGUUAAUACCUCUGUUUGAUGACGGUACCUGAAGAAUAAGCACCGGCUAACUACGUGCCAGCAGCCGCGGUAAUACGUAGGGUGCGAGCGUUAAUCGGAAUUACUGGGCGUAAAGCGAGCGCAGGCGGUUCCUUAAGUCUGAUGUGAAAGCCCCCGGCUCAACCGGGGAGGGUCAUUGGAAACUGGGGAACUUGAGUGCAGAAGAGGAGAGUGGAAUUCCAUGUGUAGCGGUGAAAUGCGUAGAUAUAUGGAGGAACACCAGUGGCGAAGGCGACUCUCUGGUCUGUAACUGACGCUG
rnacentral:rRNA from 1 species